UUCUGGCAAAAAUAACACCAGAUGAAGAAAAGGGGAUGGGAAGUACCUGUGACAAUGUCAAAAGACAUACAGUCAUAGAAAUGGGGGAAGAAAUGGAAAAAAGGAAAAUGAAGAAGAGCAAAAAAAAAGAUGCUCAUAAAUAUCUAAAAG